rnacentral:lncRNA from 1 species
GAGGAAUCAGACUCAAAAAAGGUUAAGUAAAGUUCCAAGUUCACAGGUGCUUGGCAAGUAGCAGAGUCAGGAUUUGAACUAAGAUCAUUAGGACUCAAGGUUUGAAUGCAAUUCUAAGGAGAGGCUGUUAAAUCGAAGAAGGUAGAGCUCAGAAGCUGAAUGCAUUGCCCAAACUUAUGCUCAGGAAGAAAAUGUGGGAGAUGAGGAUUUACUGAUGAAGAAACUUUUAGAAAUUUCCUACUGCCAAAGAUGCAAACAUGUGACAUUUAUGAAAGGGGUUAUGGUGUUCUGAUGAUGACAAGUCCACAAAGCAAAUUCCAAUCUACGAUGUGACAGAGAAAAGGUUUUGUUCAAGGGGAAAGGGCAUGUGUCUUUUGUGGAUUCCUGGUUCAUGGUGGUAUCUGGAUAAGGAAGAAAGGCUGUCCCUGCACUUUUGACUGUGGGUUGCUUGGCUGCAUGUCCCAGUUCAGAUUCCAACACACCCUAUGUUGAAGAAGAAGCUUACAAGUCUGAACUUUGGUUUGGGCAACUGAGAAUGAAAGCAUUUUUCAUCUGAGCUUUCUGUGCUUUAUGAACACCUCAAGGGAAACACCUUUAAUACUGGAGCCCUAAUAAAGAGCAUAAGAAAAUUUGUUUUUCUGAUGAA